rnacentral:rRNA from 1 species
GUCGAGCGGAACGAGUUAUCUGAACCUUCGGGGAACGAUAACGGCGUCGAGCGGCGGACGGGUGAGUAAUGCCUAGGAAAUUGCCCUGAUGUGGGGGAUAACCAUUGGAAACGAUGGCUAAUACCGCAUGAUGCCUACGGGCCAAAGAGGGGGACCUUCGGGCCUCUCGCGUCAGGAUAUGCCUAGGUGGGAUUAGCUAGUUGGUGAGGUAAGGGCUCACCAAGGCGACGAUCCCUAGCUGGUCUGAGAGGAUGAUCAGCCACACUGGAACUGAGACACGGUCCAGACUCCUACGGGAGGCAGCAGUGGGGAAUAUUGCACAAUGGGCGCAAGCCUGAUGCAGCCAUGCCGCGUGUGUGAAGAAGGCCUUCGGGUUGUAAAGCACUUUCAGUCGUGAGGAAGGUAGUGUAGUUAAUAGCUGCAUUAUUUGACGUUAGCGACAGAAGAAGCACCGGCUAACUCCGUGCCAGCAGCCGCGGUAAUACGGAGGGUGCGAGCGUUAAUCGGAAUUACUGGGCGUAAAGCGCAUGCAGGUGGUUUGUUAAGUCAGAUGUGAAAGCCCGGGGCUCAACCUCGGAAUAGCAUUUGAAACUGGCAGACUAGAGUACUGUAGAGGGGGGUAGAAUUUCAGGUGUAGCGGUGAAAUGCGUAGAGAUCUGA